UCCCCUAGUAACUGCGAGUGAAGCGGGAAAAGCUCAAAUUUAAAAUCUGACGGUUUCACCGUCCGAGUUGUAAUCUGGAGAAGCAUUUUCUGUGUCAGACCGUGUACAAGUCUCUUGGAAUAGAGUGUCAUAGAGGGUGAGAGUCCCGUCCAUGACACGGAUCCUGAUGCUUUGUGAUAUGCUCUCGAAGAGUCGAGUUGUUUGGGAAUGCAGCUCAAAAUGGGUGGUAAAUUCCAUCUAAAGCUAAAUAUUGGCGAGAGACCGAUAGCGAACAAGUACCGUGAGGGAAAGAUGAAAAGCACUUUGGAAAGAGAGUUAAACAGUACGUGAAAUUGUUGAAAGGGAAACGCUUGAAGUCAGUCGCGUUGUCUGGAACUCAGCCUUGCUUGAUGGUGUAUGAAGUUCUCUGACGGUGCUGCGGUAGAGCGCGUAUGUUGGGACCCGAAAGAUGGUGAACUAUGCCUGAAUAGGGUGAAGCCAGGGGAAACUCUGGUGGAGGCUCGUAGCGAUUCUGACGUGCAAAUCGAUCGUCAAAUUUGGGUAUAGGGGCGAAAGACUAAUCGAACCAUCUAGUAGCUGG
rnacentral:rRNA from 1 species